GACCCUCAAAAUGCUCAUCACAUGCCUCCUCUCCUGCUUUUCACAGUGGGAAGAAAAUUGGUGCCACAACUAAAUUCCAGCACUGGUAAUUCUUUCAGUUCUCCCUGUUCUGAUGAGGCUCUUGCUUCCAUCUCAAAUGGAUCGUGCAGAGUGCCCAAGGCUCUCUCCCACAAAUAAACUACAUGCUUCUCUUGGAUUGAGCUGGGUUUGCCUGCAUUGAAGGAUAAGUCCUGAAGUCCUUCUUCAGACCUAAUUCAGUCUCAUUCUGCUAACAAACUUAAUGUGAAUAAAAGGGAAGGAGUCUUCUUCAGGAGCUGACCAAGAAAGCAGACUCCUUGGAGUCCUGUCUUGGUAAAAUGAAAAAAAUAAAAACCUUACAUGUUCAUUUCAGGCUUUGUUUCAUGUCUGCCUUAACUUCAUGUCAAUUUUCCUGUUAAUAGCCAUGUCAAUGUUAAAACAGGAAAUAAAAAGUCUGCAGACUUUCUUAGUGCUGAAGUCAUAGCAACACUCUCACCCAUGUGAGCAUGGAUUUCAUCUGUUGCAACAGCUGCCCGCCUCAGAAAAGCACCGCUUCUCUGAGUGCUCUCUGGCCCACAUCCUCUGAAGUCUUUUACUGAGACGAGACCUUUUAUUUGGGUUCAUUCCUUCAGCUCCCAAGGACAGUAAUGGGAACUCCACGCUGCACCAGAGGUGAUCUCUGUAGGAGCUGUCAGCACAGGCAAGGACGGCCGUGAACGCAAGGGGGUUGUCGCUGCCAGAAAGGGGCAGCUUUGGCUCCACCUCUGCCCCCGACACCGCAAUGCUCGCUUGACUCAUGCCAUCCUCAGGCACAGCCUCAAACAUCUGAGACCUCCUCUCUCUGGCUUCUCUGCUGGGUGGGAGAUUGUUUUGUUUCUGAGCUCUGCAGAUGCCAUGCUGUUCUCUAGGACGUGGUGUUUGGCUGGAGAACACCCUGGCGAGAAGGGAUGUUGAAAAAUAGCAGUAGCAGCAACAGUAGCAACAGAUGGGGCUAGCAACCUUUCCCUGGGCUCCAAAUACCAUGGGAGCUGGCUGCUUCUGAAGGCAAAGCCUGGCUUGCAGUCCUUCCCGACGGAUACAUCUUGUGUACAAUCCUGCGAGGAGUACCGGUAGCACCGCACAACCAGUCUUGUGUUGUCCUGCCUCAUCCAGGUCUGAGGGUUUGUGACAGCUGAUAUCAGGGAGUUCGCGGAGCUCUGGGAGA